UUUUAUGGAGAGUUUGAUCCUGGCUCAGGAUGAACGCUGGCGGCGUGCCUAAUACAUGCAAGUCGAGCGAACGGACGAGAAGCUUGCUUCUCUGAUGUUAGCGGCGGACGGGUGAGUAACACGUGGAUAACCUACCUAUAAGACUGGGAUAACUUCGGGAAACCGGAGCUAAUACCGGAUAAUAUUUUGAACCGCAUGGUUCAAAAGUGAAAGACGGUCUUGCUGUCACUUAUAGAUGGAUCCGCGCUGCAUUAGCUA
rnacentral:rRNA from 1 species